rnacentral:rRNA from 1 species
GAUGAACGCUGGCGGCGUGCCUAAUACAUGCAAGUAGAACGCUGAAGCUUGGUGCUUGCACCGAGCGGAAGAGUUGCGAACGGGUGAGUAACGCGUAGGUAACCUGCCUCUUAGCGGGGGAUAACUAUUGGAAACGAUAGCUAAUACCGCAUAAAAGUCGACAUUGCAUGAUGUUGACUUGAAAGGUGCAAAUGCAUCACUAAGAGAUGGACCUGCGUUGUAUUAGCUAGUUGGUGAGGUAACGGCUCACCAAGGCGACGAUACAUAGCCGACCUGAGAGGGUGAUCGGCCACACUGGGACUGAGACACGGCCCAGACUCCUACGGGAGGCAGCAGUAGGGAAUCUUCGGCAAUGGACGGAAGUCUGACCGAGCAACGCCGCGUGAGUGAAGAAGGUUUUCGGAUCGUAAAGCUCUGUUGUAAGAGAAGAACGAGUGUGAGAGUGGAAAGUUCACACUGUGACGGUAACUUACCAGAAAGGGACGGCUAACUACGUGCCAGCAGCCGCGGUAAUACGUAGGUCCCGAGCGUUAUCCGGAUUUAUUGGGCGUAAAGCGAGCGCAGGCGGUUAGAUAAGUCUGAAGUUAAAGGCUGUGGCUUAACCAUAGUACGCUUUGGAAACUGUUUAACUUGAGUGCAGAAGGGGAGAGUGGAAUUCCAUGUGUAGCGGUGAAAUGCGUAGAUAUAUGGAGGAACACCGGUGGCGAAAGCGGCUCUCUGGUCUGUAACUGACGCUGAGGCUCGAAAGCGUGGGGAGCAAACAGG